AUGGCACCGGGAACAGUGACCCGGACGGAGCGCCGGGUGACACUGGCUGCGGCAACCCGGUGACAGCUUGAGAGGUACCCAAUUUGACAAGUUGGCAUCAUGCGUGAGUAUAAGCUAGUCGUUCUUGGCUCAGGAGGCAUUGGGAAGUCUGCUCUGACUAUACAAUUUGUUCAAGGAAUUUUUGUUGAAAAAUAUGAUCCUACGAUAGAAGAUUCUUACAGAAAGCAAGUUGAAGUAGAUGCACAGCAGUAUAUGCUUGAAAUUUUGGAUACUGCAGGAACAGAACAAUUUACAGCAAUGAGAGAUUUAUACAUGAAAAAUGGACAAGGCUUUGCUUUAGUUUAUUCCAUCACCGCACAGUCCACAUUUAAUGAUUUACAAGAUCUGAGAGAACAGAUUCUUUGAGUUAAAGACACUGAUGAUGUUCCAAUGAUUCUGGUUGGUAAUAAAUGUGACUUGGAAGAUGAAAGAGUUGUAGGAAAGGAACAAGGUCAAAAUCUAGCAAGACAGUGGAACAACUGUGCAUUCUUAGAAUCUUCUACAAAAUCAAAAAUAAAUGUUAACGAGAUCUUUUAUGACCUAGUGCGACAAAUUAACAGAAAAACUCCAGUGCCUGGGAAGGCCCGCAAAAAGUCAUCACGUCAAUUGCUUUAAUAUACUAAAUGCAUUGUAGCUCUGAGCCAGGUCUGAAGAACUGUUGCCCAAUUCAGCAGUGCCAGCAUUCCAACUUUGUUAAACCUACCAACAUCUUAAAUGGACUUUCCUGUGGUGGUACCCUGUAAGAGGCGGAUGAAAGCUACUCUGUCAGUUUGCACAUUCUAAUCAUUUCCCAGUAUCACAAGAGAGAUUUUUACUUAUAUAAUAGUCCUAGAGUACGCAGCUGGUAAAACCAGAGGCUACAUCCAGUAUUACUGCUAAGAGACAUUUCUUCAUCCACCAAUGUUGUACAUGUA